AUUGACGGAGGUUAAUGUCCAUAAAUUUUGGAAGCAAUCGGAUUGACUUUUGAAAUUCUACAUCGAAUUUAUGAUUUUCGGAAAAUGGAGUGUAACUGGUUGCAAGGAUGAAGCAUCGUAAUAUACGAGGCAGCACUAGUCGGACACUAGCCAAACAUAAUUGGGAGCGUUUGCUAUAUAAGGAAGUGCAGAGGCUCGGUGCUUUCAUUUCGCAAGAGGCGAUUGUCUGAGGUGGAUUUUACGCGCAAUUUUUUCACUCCUUAUUUGAUUUCUUUUCCCUAUUUUUGGUUUAAUUUUCUUCUUCCCGAGAGCUUGUGAGUGGCAAACGUAGUUGAUGAACAUAAGUAUGUACAUAUCUGUACUUUGUA